rnacentral:rRNA from 1 species
UACGUAGGGGGCAAGCGUUGUCCGGAUUUAUUGGGCGUAAAGCGCGUGUAGGCGGCUACGCAGGUCCGUUGUGAAAACUGGAGGCUCAACCUCCAGACGUCGACGGAAACCGUGUGGCUAGAGUCCGGAAGAGGAGAGUGGAAUUCCUGGUGUAGCGGUGAAAUGCGCAGAUAUCAGGAAGAACACCAAUGGCGAAGGCAGCUCUCUGGGACGGUACUGACGCUGAGACGCGAAAGCGUGGGGAGCGAACAGG